GACAAGUUUGAUUUUAGAAAUUAACAAUUAAUUUAGACUAAAUGUUGUUACUUGUUUUACUAAUAUUAUACAUAUUUAGGACAAAGACCACAACAUCAAAAGAAGAAUGUGCUUUAGUUUUUUUACUGUAUGAAGUUAUUAUAUAACCUUUUCAUCUUACUAUAUUUGUGUUAAUGAUAGUUUAUCUUUUAGUUCAAAAAAAAAAAAGAAACUUUGAGUUUGAGCUUCCUUAAAUGAAGUAGGAAGAGCAUGAUGAAGAAAAAUAAAGUUGAAGUUAGACGCUCCCUAUAGUAACGAGGAGAUCAAUGUCGUACGGGAUGAGUGGGCCGAAUUUGUGAAGCCUUUGAUUAUAGAUUAAGUACUUAAGGUUACUACACUUUUGUUAUAAUACAUGAGUAACAAGUUUUAUGAUUAUUGUUAUCUUUUGCAUAUGUCAUUAGUUUAUAUUUAGUUUACGAUAUAUAUGGAAUUUAAGUUUUAGAA